rnacentral:rRNA from 1 species
GGACUACACGGGUAUCUAAUCCUGUUCGCUCCCCACGCUUUCGCGCCUCAGCGUCAGUAUGAUGCCAGGUGGCUGCCUUCGCCAUUGACGUUCCUUCCGAUCUCUACGCAUUUCACCGCUACACCGGAAAUUCCACCACCCUCUCAUCUACUCCAGUUAGAUAGUUUGCGAUGCACUUCCCAGGUUAAGCCCGGGGCUUUCACAUCACACACAUCUUACCGCCUACGCGCCCUUUACGCCCAGUAACUCCGAUUAACGCUCGCACCCUCUGUAUUACCGCGGCUGCUGGCAC